rnacentral:rRNA from 1 species
AGUCAAGACGCAGUCCUCGGUCUAGAUAGGCAGUAUCAACAAAGUCUAUAACACUUCACCGAAGCAAAGCUACAUUCCAAUGUCAUUAUCCUACCAUCCAAACCGAUGCUGGCCCGGUAAGCUGUGAGGAACCAAAUCCAAAAAGAAUAAGGAACACAAAAUACCAAGUCUGAUCUCAAGCCCUUCCCUUUCAACAAUUUCACGUACUUUUUCACUCUCUUUUCAAAGUUCUUUUCAUCUUUCCAUCACUGUACUUGUUCGCUAUCGGUCUCUCGCCAAUAUUUAGCUUUAGAUGGAAUUUACCACCCACUUAGAGCUGCAUUCCCAAACAACUCGACUCUUCGAAAGCACUUUACAUAGAAUUGGACAUCUCAUCGCACGGGAUUCUCACCCUCUGUGACGUCCUGUUCCAAGGAACAUAGACAAGAGCCAAUUCCAAAGUUACCUUCUUCAAAUUACAACUCGAACACUGAAAGUGCUAGAUUUCAAAUUUGAGCUUUUGCCGCUUCACUCGCCGUUACUAAGGCAAUCCCUGUUGGUUUCUUUUCCUCCGCUUAUUGAUAUGCUUAAGUUCAGCGGGUAGUCCUACCUGAUUUGAGGUCAAACUUUGUUUGUUGUUGUAAGGCCGAGCCUGUGUAAUA